rfam:Ovis aries breed Texel chromosome 9, whole genome shotgun sequence.
UCCCUGGUGGCUCAGACAGUAGAGAAUCUGCUUGCAAUGCAGGAGACCUGGGUUCGAUCCCUGGGUUGGGAA